rnacentral:lncRNA from 1 species
UAUAAACCAAUCUAAAUCAAACUUUAAUAAAAUUUUAAAUCCUAAAAAAAGCUUGAUUAAAUCCUAGAAAACUCCUUAUCAAAUCCUAAGAAAAACCUAAAUCUUAACCUUAGACCAAAUUCUAUUCAAAUCCAAGACAAAUCCUAAUCAAAUUUUUAAUUAAAUCCUAAAUCCUAAUCUUAAAUCAAAUCCUAGAAAAAUCCUAGAAAAAUCCUAAUCAAAUCUCUAAAUCCUAAUCCUAAAACAAAUCUUAAUCAAAUCCUAGUCAAAUCCUAAAUCCUAAUCAAAU